UUGUUGGUUGAAGUAUGAAUGAAAUUUUAGUCAAGAUCUAUAGUUUAAUUAAUAUUUAUUGAUGUUUCAAAUAGCUAUAGUAAUCUAUUGAGAUUUACUUGGGAUUUUUUUGGAGUUGUGUAGGAUUUAGAGUUUAUUAGAGUUUGGUCUAGGAUUAGGAUUUGAUUAGGAUUUUUUUAGGAUUUAACUAAUAUUUUUUAAAGAUUUGAUAGGAUUUUAUUAGGAUUUAGAUUUUUAUUGGAAUUUGAUUUAGAAUUAAAUUUUAGGAUUAGAUUAGGAUUUAAAUAAG
rnacentral:lncRNA from 1 species